rnacentral:rRNA from 1 species
GUCGAGAAUUUUUCACAAUGGGGGAAACCCUGAUGGAGCGACGCCGCGUGGAGGAUGAAGGCCCUCGGGUUGUAAACUCCUGUCAUGCGGGAACAAGAAAGUGAUAGUACCGCAAGAGGAAGAGACGGCUAACUCUGUGCCAGCAGCCGCGGUAAUACAGAGGUCUCGAGCGUUGUUCGGAUUCAUUGGGCGUAAAGGGUGCGUAGGUGGCGAUGUAAGUCUGGUGUGAAAUCUCGGGGCUCAACCCCGAAAUUGCAUUGGAUACUGCGUUGCUUGAGGAUUGUAGAGGAGAGUGGAAUUCACGGUGUAGCAGUGAAAUGCGUAGAUAUCGUGAGGAAGACCAGUUGCGAAGGCGACUCUCUGGGCAACUCCUGACACUGAGGCACGAAGGCUAGGGGAGCAAACGGGAUUAGAUACCCGAGUAGUCC